GGUCGGUUCGUCUAGGGGUUAGGACGUCAGGUUUUCAUCCUGGUAACAGGGGUUCGAUUCCCCUACCGACUA
rnacentral:tRNA from 1 species